rnacentral:lncRNA from 10 species
GCACAUGUAUCCUGGAAUUUAAAGUAUAAUAAAUACUUAAGUAUAGUAAAUACAUGUGCAUGUUCUACACAUGUAUCCCAGAACUUAAAGUAUAAUAAAACAAUUUGUAUUUAGAGUAGGGCCUUUAAGUCAUAGCAUGGGGCUUUUGGGAAUGGGAUUAGUGCUCUUGUAAGAACAGCCCAGAAAGCUAGCUUAUUCUCUUUCUGCCAUGUACAUAUACAAGGAAAAGUUGGUUGUCUGCAACCUGUAAUAGGGCCCUCACAAGAACCGGACCAUGCUGGCAUCCUGGUCUUGGAUUUCCAGAACUAUGACAAAUAAAUGUUUGUGUUCAAGCCAUCCAAUCUGUGAGAAUUUGUUAUAGCAGCCCAAACUGCCUAAGAC